UAGGGAAUCUUCCGCAAUGGGCGAAAGCCUGACGGAGCAACGCCGCGUGAGUGAUGAAGGUCUUCGGAUCGUAAAACUCUGUUAUUAGGGAAGAACAAAUGUGUAAGUAACUAUGCACGUCUUGACGGUACCUAAUCAGAAAGCCACGGCUAACUACGUGCCAGCAGCCGCGGUAAUACGUAGGUGGCAAGCGUUAUCCGGAAUUAUUGGGCGUAAAGCGCGCGUAGGCGGUUUUUUAAGUCUGAUGUGAAAGCCCACGGCUCAACCGUGGAGGGUCAUUGGAAACUGGAAAACCUGAGUGCAGAAGAGGAAAGUGGAAUUCCAUGUGUAGCGGUGAAAUGCGCAGAGAUAUGGAGGAACACCAGUGGCGAAGGCGACUUUCUGGUCUGUAACUGACGCUGAUGUGCGAAAGCGUGGGGAUCAAACAGG
rnacentral:rRNA from 1 species